rnacentral:sRNA from 1 species
GAAGAGACCUGGGAAAUUAAGUUUCUUGCGGAGUACGGUGGGGAUUGCAGCUGCUGAGCAGGGAUUCUGGAAAGCAUUGAGUACCUGAGCCCCCAGCAUGGCGGGCCUAAAGCGGCGGGCAAGCCAGGUGUGGCCAGAAGAGCAUGGUGCUGCAGCUGCUGCGCAUCAUCACUCGCCACGACCUGCUGCCCUACGUCACCCUCAAGAGGAGACGGGCUGUGUGCCCUGAUCUUGUAGACAAGUAUCUGGAGGAGACAUCAAUUCGCUAUGUGACCCCCAGAGCCCUCAGUGAUCCAGAACCAAGGCCUCCCCAGCCCUCUAAAACAGUGCCUCCCCACUAUCCUGUGGUGUGUUGCCCCACUUCGGGUCCUCAGAUGUGUAGCAAGCGGCCAGCCCGAGGGAGAGCCACACUUGGGAGCCAGCGAAAACGCCGGAAGUCAGUGACACCAGAUCCCAAGGAAAAGCAGACAUGUGACAUCAGACUGCGGGUUCGGGCUGAAUACUGCCAGCAUGAGACUGCUCUGCAGGGCAAUGUCUUCUCUAACAAGCAGGACCCACUUGAGCGCCAGUUUGAGCGCUUUAACCAGGCCAACACCAUCCUCAAGUCCCGGGACCUGGGCUCCAUCAUCUGUGACAUCAAGUUCUCUGAGCUCACCUACCUCGAUGCAUUCUGGCGCGACUACAUCAAUGGCUCUUUAUUAGAGGCACUUAAAGGUGUCUUCAUCACAGACUCCCUCAAGCAAGCUGUGGGCCAUGAAGCCAUCAAGCUGCUGGUAAAUGUAGACGAGGAGGACUAUGAGCUGGGCCGACAGAAACUCCUGAGGAACUUGAUGCUGCAAGCAUUGCCCUGACCUAUUCCCUCUUCUCACUUUGGGGACUGUUCCCAUCACCCACCUCUGGAGCUUACACUGUUCUGGGGUUUGUUCUCUACCCUUCCAACCAAUCACACCCCUGCCUUUUUUUUUUUUUUUUAAAGAAAAAGACAAAAGAAAGUGGAAGUGGUAUUCCCCACCCCUCCCUGCACCCAUGUGCCUGGGCUUCCCCUUUAUUUCCCUUUUCCAUUUACC